AGUGAACGCUGGCGGUAGGCCUAACACAUGCAAGUCGAACGGCAGCACAGUAAGAGCUUGCUCUUACGGGUGGCGAGUGGCGGACGGGUGAGGAAUACAUCGGAAUCUACUUUUUCGUGGGGGAUAACGUAGGGAAACUUACGCUAAUACCGCAUACGACCUACGGGUGAAAGCAGGGGAUCUUCGGACCUUGCGCGAUUGAAUGAGCCGAUGUCGGAUUAGCUAGUUGGCGGGGUAAAGGCCCACCAAGGCGACGAUCCGUAGCUGGUCUGAGAGGAUGAUCAGCCACACUGGAACUGAGACACGGUCCAGACUCCUACGGGAGGCAGCAGUGGGGAAUAUUGGACAAUGGGCGCAAGCCUGAUCUAGCCAUACCGCGUGGGUGAAGAAGGCCUUCGGGUUGUAAAGCCCUUUUGUUGGGAAAGAAAAGCAGCAGGUUAAUACCCCACUGUUCUGACGGUACCCAAAGAAUAAGCACCGGCUAACUUCGUG
rnacentral:rRNA from 1 species